rnacentral:rRNA from 1 species
AACGAACGCUGGCGGCAUGCCUAACACAUGCAAGUCGAACGAGACCUUCGGGUCUAGUGGCGCACGGGUGCGUAACGCGUGGGAACCUGCACUUAGGUUCGGAAUACCUCCCCGAAAGGGGUGCUAAUACCGGAUAAUGUCUUAGGACCAAAGAUUUAUCGAAUUUGGAUGGGCCCGCGUUGCAUUAGCUAGUUGGUAGGGUAAAAGCCUACGAAGGCGACGAUCAAUAGCUGGUCUGAGAGGAUUAUCAGCCACACUGGGACUGAGACACGGCCCAGACUCCUACGGGAGGCAGCAGUGGGGAAUAUUGGACAACGGGCUAAAGCCUGAUCCAGCUAGGACGCGUGAGUGAUGAAGGCCUUAGGGUUGUAAAGCUCUUUUAACCGGGAUGAUAAUGACAGUACCGGGAGAAUAAGCUCCGGCUAACUCCGUG